CUGCUGGCUGCCCUCCUCGACCUUGGGGCUCCCUGCCCCUCAGCCCUCCGUGGCAAGGAGUUCCCGGCCCCCUGGGAGACAGAGUGACAAAGUUGCCAGGGCACAGUGAGCAGGCUUCUGGAAUCCCCCAGACCUCCAUCGCAUUGUCUACAGCUUCUUGGCAGCGGGAAGGGCCCCUUCCGUGCGGGGGAGGGAGUCUGAGCCGGGCGCUGGGGGCGCCCCCAGCGGGGCCGCCCUCGGUGCUGGUGAGGACUCUGGAAGGUGAGCACGGAGCAGGUCCUGAGACACCCCCCCCCCCGCCACUCCUGGGAACGUGAUGGAGGCAGAGGGCCGUGUGUGGGGAGGACCCAGGGACCAGGAUGCCCGGAGCGGGCAGAGGCCAGAGCCCGUUGGCGACCUGGGUACUUGGUGACCCUUGAGGCCCGGCCCCGCCUGCACUUCCUGCUGGGAACAAGCACGUCCAAUCAGGCCACGCUGCAGGGCGGCCGCUCGCUCGGGUCUGUCACCAGCCACUGGCAUCCCUCGGGAGAACCCCCACCGCCCGGGCCGUAGGAGCGGCCUGCCCUCGGCUCCAGGAAAAAAGGAGAUGGACGGACAAGCAGGAGGCUGUGCUGUACCUUGUCCUGUCCACGGCACCCACACAGAACAGCGUCCCUCCUCCGGAAAACAGGCAUGGAAUCGGCGUUACCGCUCGGUGAACGCGUGUUAAGCAGAGCACAGGUGCUAGACGAGGAGCCACGGCCACCGACCGGCCACAGAGGAAGUGAAGGAGGGACGUGUGCACUCACAGGUGCCGGAGGAAGUGCCAGGACACGGGGAGACCGUUGACCACAAGGCUUCCGGGAGUCAGGUCGGGGCUCUGUGGCUGCCACCCGGGCGCUGUGCUGGCGGGAGGGGCUCGCACGUACGGCCCCCAGGCCCCACGGCCGAAGCCCGAAGUUCCGCCCCUUCCUGGAGGGAUUUGGGGAGAGAGGCACCACCCCCGGUCUCUGCCCCGGGAGCGCACUCACCGGGGCGCAGCUGGUCGCCCGCAGGUGGACGUGGGCGUCGAAGCCCCCGGUCCUCGGGCGGGAGCCAGCCCGGCACCUGCAGCCCCGCCCCGCGUGCAGGCAGGUGGGGGCAGGGCUUCCUCCCUGCACUUGUCUCAGGCACGUGCCACAGGCUGGCCCACAGAAGUCCGGAUUGUUCCACGGUGACCCGGGCCACGUGGGGACUUCACCGUGCGGCCCGUGGUGCCUGCCAGAGGGUGGGGGAUGGGCCCCAUUAGGAGGCUGACCUCCCCGCGGGGCUGUGUGUCCGGGGGUCUGGCGGCCUGGGACUUGUCAGGACAUCCCUCCUUGUCCCCCAGCUGCUAAGAGAGACGUGGCAGGCUCAGGGGCCUUUGUGGGCACGGAGGAAAGGGCUCACGGAGGAGUGCCCCCCAGCUCCACGCGGCACAAAAGCGGACCCCACGGAUGGUCUCCGGUGACCAGGGGCGUCCCCGGAGCCGGACGGGGGGGGCGCCGAUGGGAAUUCGGUGCAGGCCACUGCCGGGGACCCUGUGGGCCGUGGGCGCCUGACGGUGGGACAGCGUUUGCCGAGGUGGCCCAGCUGCCCGGGGUGGAGGGCGUUGUCUCGGCCACCGUGCCAUCGGCCCGGCUGCGCCCACUCUGCUCCAUCACCAAGCAGGUGUACCGUGUCCCCUUCAGGAACCCGCUGCUGCCCCUGGGGCCUCCUCCGCGGCCAGUGGGGGAGGGGGUCCAGCCGGAAGGGGCCCAGUUCACAGAUGGCCCUAUGUGGUCUCAGGCUGUGCCAGAGUCAGCGAGGGUCCCCACCUGUUGCCUGCUCCCCAGAGCCCCACGGGGCCUGUUACCCGUCCGCGGAGCCAGCGCCCUGUCUCCGGUCUGCUCCCGCCACGGCCCGCACGGCCCCCAGGGUCUGCGGGCCCCGAAAAGCCUCCAGCAACACCACACGAGAUCCUCGAAAGCCCAUUCAAAGCUCAUGGUAAUUACUUCCAGGGGGUUUAUAGCCCCAAAGAGUCUCGCAGCCACGCCCCGCCGUCCAGGAAGGCGAUAUUUCACCAUCAAGGACGCGACCCUGGGUAUUUACAGACGGUAAUGAGACUGUCCACUGCUCGAUGUUGCCAUAAAUAAGCAGGAAAGUGCUGAGUUUCACGCAAUUCUCCCUGAUUGCCUGGAAGGCGUCAUUAUUUUAAUAAAAAAACUAAUCAGCCAGC